GCCAGAGUGGUGUAGUGGUUUGAGCAUAGGACUAUGACUCUGGAGAUCAGGGUUCGAUUCCCGCUCAACCA
rnacentral:tRNA from 1 species